rnacentral:rRNA from 1 species
ACCUCCCUCUGGCGGCAUGCCUAACACAUGCAAGUCGAACGAGACCUUCGGGUCUAGUGGCGCACGGGUGCGUAACACGUGGGAAUCUGCCCUUUGCUUCGGAAUAACAGUUAGAAAUGACUGCUAAUACCGGAUGAUGUCGAAAGACCAAAGAUUUAUCGGCAAAGGAUGAGCCCGCGUAGGAUUAGGUAGUUGGUGGGGUAAAGGCCUACCAAGCCGACGAUCCUUAGCUGGUCUGAGAGGAUGAUCAGCCACACUGGGACUGAGACACGGCCCAGACUCCUACGGGAGGCAGCAGUGGGGAAUAUUGGACAAUGGGCGAAAGCCUGAUCCAGCAAUGCCGCGUGAGUGAUGAAGGCCUUAGGGUUGUAAAGCUCUUUUACCAGGGAUGAUAAUGACAGUACCUGGAGAAUAAGCUCCGGCUAACUCCGUG